rnacentral:rRNA from 1 species
GAUCAGUGGCUCAGAUGAACGCUGGCGGCGUGCCUAACACAUGCAAGUCGAGCGAUCUUCUUCGGAAGAGAGCGGCGGACGGGUGAGUAACGCGUGGGUAACCUGCCUCAUACACAUGGAUAACAUACCGAAAGGUAUGCUAAUACAAGAUGAUAUAAGAGAUUCGCAUGGAUUUCUUAUCAAAGCUCCGGCGGUAUGAGAUGGACCCGCGUCUGAUUAGCUAGUUGGUAAGGUAAUGGCUUACCAAGGCGACGAUCAGUAGCCGACCUGAGAGGGUGAUCGGCCACAUUGGAACUGAGACACGGUCCAAACUCCUACGGGAGGCAGCAGUGGGGAAUAUUGCACAAUGGGCGAAAGCCUGAUGCAGCAACGCCGCGUGAGCGAUGAAGGCCUUCGGGUCGUAAAGCUCUGUCCUCAAGGAAGAUAAUGACGGUACUUGAGGAGGAAGCCCCGGCUAACUACGUG